GUGACCUGUAUAUAUAACAUUCCCGUAUGUACUGAAACGCUUACAUGCUCCUUUUUGACGACUCUGCGUGGGAUAUGCUGGCAAAUUGCGCAUUUUCUUCGCUGUUUUCGAAGGAUUUUAUGAAAAUCCUUGUUUUGGUUUAUUUAUAGUAGUCGCAGUAAUUCCGAAAUUUAAUACGAAAUACGUGCACAAAUUUCCGAUCAGAUAGUGCAAAAAUAUUGCGAUUUCGUCCAGUAGAACGGAAGAUAUUCGCAUUUCAAACCUGGGAAAAUUUCUCAACUAAAAUUUUUGAAACGGGACCCCAUAUUGAAACGUUAGAAGUAUUCUACUUCAAUACGAACAAACGACCUCUCAAAAUACAUAGAUUUUACUCGUUUGAAUCGACACUGACAAAUAAUCAUUGUUCCAAUUUUGACACUGUCGUCACUCUUCUUAUAUGCACUCAGAUUUCAACCAUCGAUCUGUGCAUGACUCAACACAACCCUGAACGGACAUCAUACACGCAAAAUUUUAUUUAUGCAUCGAUAGCAUAUUUUUCUAUCUGCAUCUCGUUUCUUCUGCUGUGAAUUUUAUGCAUUGGACAUAUUCGGUCUAUCCACUCAUUGAAUGCUUACUAGAGGUAUAUACAUGAAAAUGCAUAAAAAUCACAGCAGAAGAAAAUAGUCGGGAAUAGAAAGUAUGCUAACUAUGCAUAUACAUACUACAUACGGUAGUGGAAGGUAAAAGUAAUUCUAAUAGUUAAAUUGAGUAUCCUACCUAAACUUAGCUUAAGACUUAAUCACGCAGUAUCAGGUCAGUCAGCACACUUUAUUUAUUAAAACUUAAAACUACAUACCUACAGAAGGUAAAAUUAAAAAUGGAAAUCAUGCAAUAACAGAAACAAAAUUUUUAGAAGGGCCGUUGUGUCUAGUACGGAUAGAUUAGUCUAGUACGGAUAGAUAGUAGAAGAAACUGAACUUGAGUACUUGCUCUAUUCAUACGAGAAAUCUAAUAUUAAUUUGCAUUUAUCCCCGAAGGGAUUUUAUAACUUCUGUAAUAAAAUAUAUUAGUUACAAAACCGGAAACUAUUUCUAUCUGUUCGAUUGCUAGCGCAACAAACAGCCUUUCAAAUGACGCCCAUAUUGAUGAUAAUUCUCUAUUUUCUGGUAAUGGGAAGCCGCCAUCUUGGAUUUCAAAAAGGCGUUAAUCAUCAACUCCCGUUGUCUACUGACCAACCCCUUUCAAAUGACACCCAUAUUGAUAAUGGUAUUCACUGAUGUGGUUUUUUAUCUCUUUUACUCUUGCUGGUACAUAAACCGGUAUUGCGCUUAAUAAAAGGGACACCGUUUUUGCUCGCAGUGAAUUUUUAUUUCACUCUUGCUCUCAUCCUAUCAAAUCAUCUUUUUUUAUUUUUUUACUUGCAGUGUGCGUACAUGAUGCACAAAUAAAAAACUAGAAAACAAGAAUCAACGCGUAAUUAUUUCGCUCGCAGAAACUGUUUAUGAUCAAUUAUUUAAAUUGAUACUACAUUUUUCGAAUAUUUGUACUGAUUGGCACAUAGUACGGCACCGUACCAACUUCCAUAGUCUUCUACUUAUCCGCCUCAAGAGGGUUUUGUAUAUCAAGCACACCAAACUCUCGAGAGUGAAUAUUUUUUAUCGCUGGUUGUUGAGUUUACGGUUGCACAAAGAUGUGUUCAAUCAGUAUAAUCAAAUCAAAAGCCAAAAUGAUAAGAAAAGAAUGGCUUUUUCAGUAUCAAUAGACACGGUUGUAGCAUAUCAGAGUGAUAAUAUAUUUUGCAACAUCAGUUGCUACCAGUGUUUUCUUGCAUCUGAUUCCUCUUACAGCAAUUUUUGACGCUCUCAUUUAUCUUUACAGAAAAACGCUCCACCGAAGGCAGUGGACUAGUAUCUCACUACGAGCAGAAUCGAAAAUAUAGUGAUUCCGAAAACAUGUCUGACAAGCAGGCAGAUACUGUUUUUGACAUUCUGAUUCCGUCGUUGGUAAUCGCUGCCCUAUUUAUUGUUAACGGCAUCGUAUUCGCAGUCAUUAUGCGCUACAGGAACAAAAGAAAACGCCUUGAACUAGACAGUAAGGAAUUAGCUGAACUGUAAAGUCCCAUUUUCCCGUAACCAAAAUACAAAGGAGUAAAUAAUGCGAAAGCAUGACAAAAUACUCAACAAUGGUAAUGCAUGUACAAGAACAUUGAAGUCAUUAACAAACAAGAAAAGAAAACCAUUAUUGCCGCUCACUGGAAAGCUUAACCUUGAUAGUGAAAGGCAAUCAUCGCCAUCAGUAGCAUCGUAGUUCCAUGCUAGAAAAUGUUUAGAAUGCAGCAGUAAAAGUGCAUGGUUAUCUCCUUAUCUACAUGUACAUUUUCCUUGCGUCCACAAAUGAUGCUGCCAGCCAAACGCAACCAAAAAGACAUGCCUAUUUUCCAACGACACAGCUACUCUCAUGUCCUCUUUCGCAAAUGGAACCGCACACAAGUAAAAUACCAUAUCAUCAACUUAUAGUCACUAUCACGGUCACCGAAGCAGCUUCAUAGACAAAGCAACCCAAACAUUAUCAUCGCUUAGGUAAGUCUUUACAGUUCAAUUAUUGCAUCUCCAACAAAGAGGAAUUUAAAUACGAAAUGCCAUCAGUUAUAGUGUGCAAACCAGAUAUUUUGUCGCUCUGAUAAAAAAAAUCAUUAAAUUGUAGUGAAUAGCUUGAAUCCAAAGUAAAUUAUUAGUAUCUCUAUACACUCACAUGCCAAUAUGGUAACUAUUUUGCACGCUGGAAAAUUACUGUAUACAAAUCUCACAACAUGCAAACCAAGUAAGCGAAAAACGAAAAUAUAUUUAUAUCAGAAUUUUGAUAACUUAUUUCCCCAAUAUCUUUGACAGCAUGCUUUUCACACUGUACUAAAACCAUAAAUUAAAAUAAACAAUUUUUAGAUCAGAGAUAAAUAUUUUCUAAAUUUAUACAAACGAAAAAAUAAGCAUUUACGAAAGUUCGAAGUAAACAAUUUGCGAAUUAAACACAUUCAUUUACAACAAUUUAGCUGAUUAAAUGUUGUAAAAUUAGAAUAUUUUUUUAAUUUGUUUUGUAAAACAAAAAAAAAAUGUUGGGCAUGGUAAACACGCUAGAACAAAACAGGACAAAAGCAAGCCAAAGAUUAGAUGUUAUCGUAUAUAUGCCUACCGACAGCUUUGGAGAAAAUGCAAUUUAAUAUUGGAAACUAUAAAAAGAGAAUGCAACAUGUGCUUUAUUCGCUAUUAUUUAGAAUAACACUUUUGAACUGAGAACACCGAAAAUUGACAUUGAAUUGACGGGAUUGAUAGGUAGGGAGGUCGUGGCCCUACGAUUUGUGAUUUGCGAAAUGAUGCAAAAGUGUGAUCAGUUUAUGAAGCUUAGUAGGCCUGUGCGAGCCGGAUCAAAUACACAAAUUAAAAUUGUAGAGGGAACCCUGAGUGUUGGAACAUUCACGUCUAGUUUCAUUCGGAAACACAGGCUAUUGUAUUAUUUCCGGCUUAUGUCUAUGUUCAAAAUUUGGCGUCUGAAAUAUGAACAAAAUGAAACGGUUGUUUUCUUAAUUUUUAAGGAAAUAAUAUUAUUGUACUUCCAAGCCGAAAUAAAAAGAGGUAAAAAUAUA